GGGCUCAGCCAACCUCCAAAAUAAUUGAUGCUGGAUCAAUGGAAGAGCAAAGGUCCGGAGACUUGACUCAUCAGCUUUGGAGAUCCAUUCAACACUUGGGUCCAUCUAGAUUUCUGGUUUUGCUUUAUGUAUAUAGAAUCUGUAGCUUUAUUUUGUUUUUCUUCGUAAGUUCUCUUGAUUUUCUUUUAAUUAUUCCACCGUCCUCUUCUUCUUCUUCUCCUAUAUGAAUAAAAGAGGAGGCAUCUUACUAGCAUUCCUGUCUGAUUUUGUUUUCUCUCUCUCUCAUAAUGUGUGUAAACACAAAAUGCAUACUUUUUUUUCCCAUCGAAUCGUGCCUCUAU
rnacentral:lncRNA from 1 species